GAUGGCGACCGGCGCACGGGUGAGUAACACGUAUCCAACCUGCCGAUGACUCGGGGAUAGCCUUUCGAAAGAAAGAUUAAUACCCGAUGGCAUAGUUCUUCCGCAUGGUGGAACUAUUAAAGAAUUUCGGUUAUCGAUGGGGAUGCGUUCCAUUAGUUUGUUGGCGGGGUAACGGGCCCACCAAGACUACGAUGGAUAGGGGUUCUGAGAGGAAGGUCCCCCACAUUGGAACUGAGACACGGUCCAAACUCCUACGGGAGGCAGCAUG
rnacentral:rRNA from 1 species